AGAGUUUGAUCCUGGCUCAGAACGAACGCUGGCGGCAUGGAUUAGGCAUGCAAGUCGAACGGUGUAGCAAUACACAGUGGCGGAAGGGUGAGGAACACGUGAAUAAUCUGCCCUCAAGUUGGGAAUAACUUUCCGAAAGGAAAGCUAAUACCGAAUGUGGUUGUUUUAUCGCAUGAUAGGACAACUAAAGAUUUAUCGCUUGAGGAUGAGUUCGCGUCCCAUUAGCUAGUUGGCGGGGUAACGGCCCACCAAGGCAGAGAUGGGUAGCUGGUCUGAGAGGAUGAUCAGCCACACUGGGACUGAGACACUGCCCAGACUCCUACGGGAGGCUGCAGUCGAGAAUCUUUUGCAAUGCGCGAAAGCGUGACAAAGCAAUGCCGCGUGCCGGAUGAAGGUCUUCGGAUUGUAAACGGCUGUCACUCGGGACGAAAAAUGACGGUACCGAGGGAGGAAGCCACGGCUAACUACGUGCCAGCAGCCGCGGUAAUACGUAGGUGGCGAGCGUUGUUCGGAUUUAUUGGGCGUAAAGGGUUCGUAGGUGGUUUGCUAAGUCUGACGUGAAAUCCCGUGGCUCAACCACGGAACUGCGUUGGAGACUGGUGAACUUGAGUAUUGGAGAGGUAAGCGGAAUACCAGGUGUAGCGGUGGAAUGCGUAGAUAUCUGGUAGAACACCGAUAGCGAAGGCAGCUUACUGGACAAUAACUGACACUGAGGAACGAAAGCGUGGGGAGCAAACAGGAUUAGAUACCCUGGUAGUCCACGCCGUAAACGUUGUCAACUUGAUGUGGGAGGAUUUAGUCCCUUCCGUAUCGAAGCUAACGCGAUAAGUUGACCGCCUGGGGACUACGGCCGCAAGGCUAAAACUCAAAGGAAUUGACGGGGACCCGCACAAGCGGUGGAGCAUGUGGCUUAAUUCGAGGCAACGCGAAGAACCUUACCUGGGCUUGAAAUCAUACGGACAGUCUAUGAAAGUAGAUUUUCCUUCGGGACUGUAUGACAGGUGCUGCAUGGCUGUCGUCAGCUCGUGCCGUGAGGUGUUCGGUUAAGUCCGGCAACGAGCGCAACCCGUAUCAUUAGUUACCAUCAGGUAAUGCUGGGGACUCUAAUGAGACUGCCUGUGUUAAGCAGGAGGAAGGCGCGGAUGACGUCAAGUCAGUAUGGCCCUUACGUCCAGGGCUGCACACGUGCUACAAUGGCCGGUACAAUGAGAAGCGAAACCGCGAGGUGGAGCAAAUCUACAAAACCGGUCUUAGUUCGGAUUGUAGUCUGCAACUCGACUACAUGAAGCCGGAAUCGCUAGUAAAGGCGUAUCAGCUACGACGCCCUGAAUACGUUCCCGGGUCUUGUACACACCGCCCGUCACAUCAUGGGAGCUGAUUGCACCCGAAGUCGAUGCCCCAACCCAGCAAUGGGAGGGAGUCGCCUAAGGUGUGGUUAGUGACUGGGAUGAAGUCGUAACAAGGUAACC
rnacentral:rRNA from 1 species